UUUAUGUGAGCUUAUAUGUACUUUUCCGCAUAAAUAAUUUGUACUCUUAGUUAGAAACAAAUGAACUAUGGCUUUUGGUUUGGUUUUGUUUAUUUAUGAAUAAACAUUAAGAACUGUGCUUACGAAAUUUUCAGGAAAUAUACUGAAUGCUUUAAUGUACUCUGUAACAUUGCAACAUAUAAUUUCCCCUCUUCCCUCACUUUUUGAUGUAGCUAUCAUUGCUUUGAGUUUUUAUCUACUGGUUAUUUUAAAGAGCUUAAUGGUCUCAUUUACUUAAAAGUGGAAUAAUAUUGGACUACUAUUUUCUUUUUUUAACCUCUCUAGGUCAUUCUACAGUCAUUACCUUCCAGCCUAUUUGUUUCUGCAGAAUCUACAUAUGUAAUACCUAUAAAUUUUCUUUUCAUAUUUGUUCACUCAUCCACAUCAUUAAUAAAGUUAUUAAGUGAAGACAAACCCAGCAGUAGCACUCCCUUACCACCUUGAAAUAUUGUGCUGAUGUAGAGGUUGUAUCUGAUUUAAUUCUUCAAGGAUUAUUAAUGUAUGUGGAACUAGCUUUUCAGCCAUGGAAAUCUUUAGUACAUAUUUAAGAAAAAGUGAUUUAAUGCUCAGUAGGGAAAUGUUGUCCAAAACAGUGCCUGAAAAAAGCAGGUAUGUGUCCACAUUGGGCACACUGCAGGUGGGGUAUAUUGUUGAGAUAGGAAGGAAAAAUAAAAUGUGAGAAAAGGCAAGAGACAGAAAACAAAGUGCAGGUCGGGAAGAGACAACUUUAACUUCCACCAUUUGUUAAUCAAUUCUGAAAUAUUUUCAUUUUUACAGCCUAAAAUUAUGCAUGUGUUGGCAUUUUUUUAAAUGGAUGAUAUUACAGUUUUCAUUCAAGCAUUGGUAUAGAGCCUAAGCUUUUGUUAUGGAUGAGAUGUUUAGAUUCUUCAUCUGGAAAAUCUAUUUUCCUGUUAUUGAAGUCACAUAUAUACAUAUAUGUAUAUAUACUUUUAUAUAUGUGUCUAUAUAUAGUAAAAAUGUGUAUAUUUAUUUUAAAAAGUAUUUUGGUUCAUGUUUUUGUUCUUAAUGUUGUCCUACUAAAAUUACUUAAUCAUAAAUCUUUCUACUAACAGUAAGGCAGAAACAGAGUAACAAGGGAUUUUUUUUUUCUAUUAAACUGAAGACAGAGAAGUUUGGUAUUUAUUUUUACCUAAUAUAGCAAACUUCAAAAAACAAUCUAUUUCAAUAAAAAUAUUUUCCCCAGCUACAGAAAUAAACAAGGGAUAAUAUAUAAUCUAAA
rnacentral:lncRNA from 1 species